rnacentral:sRNA from 1 species
GAGCGGAGCAGCGCUGGCCGCGUGCCGCCUCCGGAGCCGGCAGCGUGAGUGGUCCCGCGUCCCCGCUUCUCCCGGUGCCCGGCGGGGCCGCGUCACCCGGCCCCGCCCCGCGCCGCCCGCCCCGCCCCGGACGCGGGGGUAAGGGGGGUCGCCGCCCGCCUGCCCUCGGUCCUGUGCGGUCCCCGAAGCUCCGAGCACCUGCCCGGUCCCUGCGCGGAGCCCCUCGGCGUCGCGUGGAGCUGCGAGUCGCCCGCUUCCGGAAGCGCACACGGGCCAGUUGCGGCGGCCCAUCUGCCAGGGCGGCGGGGGCUCAGCGGGAGGGUUGAGGCUGAAUCACGCGCAGCCUGCGGGCGGCGGAAACGUCCCUAGAGCCUCGCCGCCCCGGGACCCGGGCUGCUUCCUGGGAGAAGAUUACAUUUUCUCCCUGCUCCACUUGACUUUCUUCCGGAAGGAGCAGGUCUCGCAGGAUCGGGGCCAAGGCUGGAAGAGUUCAGGUUUGGGAGUCGUGUGUGUAACAGCCCCACGCCUCCACGCCCUGGCCCGUGUGGCUUUGGGCAAGUUAUAUAACCACCGCCGCCACCCUAGUUUCUUCUCCUGUAAAAUGGAGCUUUAGUGCCGCCCAGCAGGGUUGUUGGGAUAAUUCAGUGACUCUGUGGACUGCCCAGCACCUGUGAAUUGCUUUCCUGGAUGUUGGGUGAAAGGCUGUGAGCUUCCCCAUGGCUGGGGGUUAUGGAGUGAUGGGUGACGAUGGUUCUAUUGAUUAUACUGUUCACGAAGCCUGGAAUGAAGCCACCAAUGUUUACUUGAUAGUUAUCCUUGUUAGCUUCGGUCUCUUCAUGUAUGCCAAAAGGAUAUUUGGCUUUUGGAGGAUUGAGGAGAAUCACAAUGGAGAAACUUCACUUUGUUGUGUUAAAUGGAUG